rnacentral:rRNA from 1 species
CCAUGCCGCGUGUAUGAAGAAGGCCUUCGGGUUGUAAAGUACUUUCAGCAGUGAGGAAGGUGGGUAUGGUUAAUAGCAUAUUCAUUUGACGUUAGCUGCAGAAGAAGCACCGGCUAACUCCGUGCCAGCAGCCGCGGUAAUACGGAGGGUGCGAGCGUUAAUCGGAAUUACUGGGCGUAAAGCGCAUGCAGGUGGUUUGUUAAGUCAGAUGUGAAAGCCCGGGGCUCAACCUCGGAAUUGCAUUUGAAACUGGCAAACUAGAGUACUGUAGAGGGGGUAGAAUUUCAGGUGUAGCGGUGAAAUGCGUAGAGAUCUGAAGGAAUACCGGUGGCGAAGGCGGCCCCCUGGACAGAUACUGACACUCAGAUGCGAAAGCGUGGGGAGCAAACAGGAUUAGAUACCCUGAUAG